UUGAAGAGUUUGAUCAUGGCUCAGAUUGAACGCUGGCGGCAGGCCUAACACAUGCAAGUCGAGCGGUAGCACAGAGAGCUUGCUCUCGGGUGACGAGCGGCGGACGGGUGAGUAAUGUCUGGGAAACUGCCUGAUGGAGGGGGAUAACUACUGGAAACGGUAGCUAAUACCGCAUAAUGUCGCAAGACCAAAGUGGGGGACCUUCGGGCCUCAUGCCAUCAGAUGUGCCCAGAUGGGAUUAGCUAGUAGGUGGGGUAACGGCUCACCUAGGCGACGAUCCCUAGCUGGUCUGAGAGGAUGACCAGCCACACUGGAACUGAGACACGGUCCAGACUCCUACGGGAGGCAGCAGUGGGGAAUAUUGCACAAUGGGCGCAAGCCUGAUGCAGCCAUGCCGCGUGUGUGAAGAAGGCCUUCGGGUUGUAAAGCACUUUCAGCGGGGAGGAAGGCGUUAAGGUUAAUAACCUUGGCGAUUGACGUUACCCGCAGAAGAAGCACCGGCUAACUCCGUGCCAGCAGCCGCGGUAAUACGGAGGGUGCAAGCGUUAAUCGGAAUUACUGGGCGUAAAGCGCACGCAGGCGGUCUGUCAAGUCGGAUGUGAAAUCCCCGGGCUCAACCUGGGAACUGCAUUCGAAACUGGCAGGCUAGAGUCUUGUAGAGGGGGGUAGAAUUCCAGGUGUAGCGGUGAAAUGCGUAGAGAUCUGGAGGAAUACCGGUGGCGAAGGCGGCCCCCUGGACAAAGACUGACGCUCAGGUGCGAAAGCGUGGGGAGCAAACAGGAUUAGAUACCCUGGUAGUCCACGCCGUAAACGAUGUCGAUUUGGAGGUUGUGCCCUUGAGGCGUGGCUUCCGGAGCUAACGCGUUAAAUCGACCGCCUGGGGAGUACGGCCGCAAGGUUAAAACUCAAAUGAAUUGACGGGGGCCCGCACAAGCGGUGGAGCAUGUGGUUUAAUUCGAUGCAACGCGAAGAACCUUACCUGGUCUUGACAUCCACAGAACUUUCCAGAGAUGGAUUGGUGCCUUCGGGAACUGUGAGACAGGUGCUGCAUGGCUGUCGUCAGCUCGUGUUGUGAAAUGUUGGGUUAAGUCCCGCAACGAGCGCAACCCUUAUCCUUUGUUGCCAGCGG
rnacentral:rRNA from 1 species